GCUCGGGUGGCGCAAUCGGUGGCGCGUUCGUCUCAUAAUCGGAAGGUCGCGAGUUCGAUCCUCGCCCUGAGCA
rnacentral:tRNA from 1 species